CCGUGGGCCACCCCUCCCCAACGAGGGGUGUAUAGAUGGCACAA
rfam:Mesorhizobium sp. Root157 contig_1, whole genome shotgun sequence.